AUCACUUACACCAAACAAAUUUUGAAAAUUUACACUAGGGAGUGGUUCUAUAGAAAAGAUCGCGACUUACAUAAACAAAUUUUCUGUUAUUAUUGGGAGUUCAAAAAGUAUUUUGUGUAAGUUCAUGGUGUUUGUCCUAUUGUGAAUUGUGAUUAUCGGUACUGCGAUAAAUUCAGAAUAGUGUAGUAACUACCGUUUUGUCAAGAAAACAAUACUAAACCUACAUAACCUCACUUCUACAUGCAAUGCAGAAAAUGCAAUUUCUCAACACAGACAAAAUGAUGAAUGUCCGGGUGCAACCAAAAAAAAAAAAAAGAAGAAAUCGAGUUAGAAAUUGCGGGAUACGUAGAAGUUGGAUGAAUUGGUAAGCAUUUAUUAUUAUUAUUAACUCCUAGUAUUUAUAAACUAGUUUCAGACUGAUAAUAAUGUUUAUUUGUCAGGAAGAGAAGACGUAAAAAACAUGUAUGCAAUUUUGAAGAAAUUAUUAAUAAUGAACCAAAUUGCUUUCAAGUUUUCAGGGCAAGGAAAAAAAUAAUCUCUCUUUUAGUGAACUCACAAUUAACAAGGCUACAAUAUGUACCACACGGAAACGUCACAAAAACGCCACAACUACUGAAAUUUAAAAAAUGGUAGGACCUCAUUAAGCGCAGACAAAAGCAAGAAUGAAUUCUCAUCGAAAAAAACAUGAGGUAUGAUUUUUUUUAUUUUAAUUAAUUAUAUCGCUUUUCAAUGAAUUGGUUAUAGAGCAAAUAAUUAUUAAAUAAAUAUUUCUGUAUAACGAUUGAAAUGUAGCAGAACAUUGUUAAUUCCAUUGACAAUGUAUUUUUAUUUCACUGUAAGUUGGCAGUGUAUUUUUAUGUUUAAAAAAUUUAUAUUGUGUUUCACAUCAGGUGAUUUUUUAAAUUUAUGCUCUGGUUGCCCAUGAAGCUUAUGUCAGCAGUUUCAGUUUCACUGCUGACAUAAGUGUCAUGGAUAACUACGGCAGAAAUUAAAAAAAAAAAUCACCUGGUACAAAUUUUCAACGAAUUGGUUCUAGGACAAAUAAUUUUUAAAUGUAUAAAUAUUGCCGCAACAUUUCAAAUACACUGUUAUUUCCAGUGACAAUGUAUUUUUGUGUUUAAUAAAUUUUAUAUUGU